rnacentral:rRNA from 2 species
UGGAGCUGAGACCAGUCGAAGAUACCAGCUGGCUGCAACUGUUUAUUAAAAACACAGCACUGUGCAAACACGAAAGUGGACGUAUACGGUGUGACGCCUGCCCGGUGCCGGAAGGUUAAUUGAUGGGGUUAUCCGUAAGGAGAAGCUCUUGAUCGAAGCCCCGGUAAACGGCGGCCGUAACUAUAACGGUCCUAAGGUAGCGAAAUUCCUUGUCGGGUAAGUUCCGACCUGCACGAAUGGCGUAAUGAUGGCCAGGCUGUCUCCACCCGAGACUCAGUGAAAUUGAACUCGCUGUGAAGAUGCAGUGUACCCGCGGCAAGACGGAAAGACCCCGUGAACCUUUACUAUAGCUUGACACUGAACAUUGAGCCUUGAUGUGUAGGAUAGGUGGGAGGCUUUGAAGCGUGGACGCCAGUCUGCGUGGAGCCAACCUUGAAAUACCACCCUUUAAUGUUUGAUGUUCUAACGUUGGCCCCUUACCGGGGUUGCGGACAGUGUCUGGUGGGUAGUUUGACUGGGGCGGUCUCCUCCCAAAGCGUAACGGAGGAGCACGAAGGUUAGCUAAUCCUGGUCGGACAUCAGGAGGUUAGUGCAAUGGCAUAAGCUAGCUUGACUGCGAGCGUGACGGCGCGAGCAGGUGCGAAAGCAGGUCAUAGUGAUCCGGUGGUUCUGAAUGGAAGGGCCAUCGCUCAACGGAUAAAAGGUACUCCGGGGAUAACAGGCUGAUACCGCCCAAGAGUUCAUAUCGACGGCGGUGUUUGGCACCUCGAUGUCGGCUCAUCACAUCCUGGGGCUGAAGUAGGUCCCAAGGGUAUGGCUGUUCGCCAUUUAAAGUGGUACGCGAGCUGGGUUUAGAACGUCGUGAGACAGUUCGGUCCCUAUCUGCCGUGGGCGCUGGAGAAUUGAGGGGGGCUGCUCCUAGUACGAGAGGACCGGAGUGGACGCAUCACUGGUGUUCGGGUUGUCAUGCCAAUGGCACUGCCCGGUAGCUAAAUGCGGAAGAGAUAAGUGCUGAAAGCAUCUAAGCACGAAACUUGCCCCGAGAUGAGUUCUCCCUGAGACUUUAAGUCUCCUGAAGGAACGUUGAAGACGACGACGUUGAUAGGCCGGGUGUGUAAGCGCAGCGAUGCGUUGAGCUAACCGGUACUAAUGAACCGUGAGGCUUAACCUU